rnacentral:rRNA from 1 species
ACGUAGGGCGCGAGCGUUGUCCGGAAUUAUUGGGCGUAAAGAGCUUGUAGGCGGUUUGUCGCGUCUGCUGUGAAAGGCCGGAGCUUAACUCCGUGUAUUGCAGUGGGUACGGGCAGACUAGAGUGCAGUAGGGGAGACUGGAAUUCCUGGUGUAGCGGUGGAAUGCGCAGAUAUCAGGAGGAACACCGAUGGCGAAGGCAGGUCUCUGGGCUGUAACUGACGCUGAGAAGCGAAAGCAUGGGGAGCGAACAG